UACGUAGGGGGCAAGCGUUGUCCGGAUUUAUUGGGCGUAAAGAGCGUGUAGGCGGCCAUGUAGGUCCGUUGUGAAAACUCGAGGCUCAACCUCGAGACGCCGAUGGAAACCAUGUGGCUAGAGUCCGGAAGAGGAGAGUGGAAUUCCUGGUGUAGCGGUGAAAUGCGCAGAUAUCAGGAAGAACACCCGUGGCUAAGGCGGCUCUCUAGUACGGUACUGACGCUGAGGCGCGAAAGCGUGGGGAUCAAACAGG
rnacentral:rRNA from 1 species